rnacentral:rRNA from 1 species
UUAAAAAGCUCGUAGUUGGAUUUGUGGUGUACUUACGGCGGCCCGUACACUAUGUGAUGGAGACUUGCUGAAGUCGCCAUCCUUGGGUGGAUCCUGUGUGGCAUUAAGUUGUCGUGCAGGGGAUGCCCAUCGUUUACUGUGAAAAAAUUAGAGUGUUCAAAGCAGGCUUAUGCCGUUGAAUAUAUUAGCAUGGAAUAAUAAGAUAGGACCAUGGUACUAUUUUGUUGGUUUGCGCACCAAGGAAAUGAUUAAUAGGGACAGUUGGGGGUAUUCGUAUUUCAUUGUCAGAGGUGAAAUUCCUUGGAUUUUUGAAAGAC